rnacentral:rRNA from 2 species
AUGAACCAAACGUCGAGUUAAGGGGCCUAAACGAAUGCUCAUUCAGAUCCCAUCGAAAGGUGUUGGUUGCUAUAGACAGCAGGACGGUGGCCAUGGAAGUUGGAAUCCGCUAAGGAGUGUGUAACAACUCACCUGCCGAAGCAACUAGCCCUUAAAAUGGUAUGGCGCUGAAGCAUUCUCCCGAUACUCGACCGCCGGGGCACUACCGACCGGACGGCUGCUAACAACAAACACCGUUCAGGUCUCGAAGCCCCGGCGAGUAGGAGGGUCGCGGUGGUGUGCGCUGAAGGGUUCGGCGUGAGCCGGCCUGGAGCCUCCACCGGUGCAGAUCUUGGUGGUAGUAGCAAAUAAUCGAGAGAGACUCCCUUGAAGGCCGAAGUGGAGAAGGGUUCCA